AGUGAACGCUGGCGGCGUGCCUAAUACAUGCAAGUCGAACGGAGAUUAAGUAGCUUGCUAUUUAAUCUUAGUGGCGCACGGGUGAGUAAUAUAUAGCUAACUUGCCCAUUACUAAGGGACAACAGUCGGAAACGACUGCUAAUACCUUAUACUCCGUAUCUAUAUAAGUAGAUACGGGAAAGUUUUUCGGUAAUGGAUAGGGCUAUAUCGUAUCAGCUAGUUGGUAAGGUAAUGGCUUACCAAGGCUAUGACGCGUAACUGGUCUGAGAGGAUGAUCAGUCACACUGGAACUGAGACACGGUCCAGACUCCUACGGGAGACAGCAGUAGGGAAUAUUGCUCAAUGGGGGAAACCCUGAAGCAGCAACGCCGCGUGGAGGAUGACACUUUUCGGAGCGUAAACUCCUUUUCUUGGGAAAGAAUUAUGACGGUACCCAAGGAAUAAGCACCGGCUAACUCCGUG
rnacentral:rRNA from 1 species